rnacentral:rRNA from 1 species
AUUGAACGCUGGCGGCAGGCUUAACACAUGCAAGUCGAACGGUAACAUAAAGAAGCUUGCUUCUUUGAUGACGAGUGGCGGACGGGUGAGUAAUGCUUGGGAAUCUAGCUUAUGGAGGGGGAUAACUACGGGAAACUGUAGCUAAUACCGCGUAAUAUCGAGAGAUUAAAGUGUGGGACCUUCGGGCCACAUGCCAUAGGAUGAGCCCAAGUGGGAUUAGGUAGUUGGUGAGGUAAAGGCUCACCAAGCCGACGAUCUCUAGCUGGUCUGAGAGGAUGACCAGCCACACUGGGACUGAGACACGGCCCAGACUCCUACGGGAGGCAGCAGUGGGGAAUAUUGCGCAAUGGGGGCAACCCUGACGCAGCCAUGCCGCGUGAAUGAAGAAGGCCUUCGGGUUGUAAAGUUCUUUCGGUAGCGAGGAAGGCAUUUAGUUUAAUAGACUAGGUGAAUGAC